AGCGAACGCUGGCGGCGGGCCUAACACAUGCAAGUCGAACGAAGUCUUCGGACUUAGUGGCGGACGGGUGAGUAACACGUGGGAACGCACCUUUUGGUUCGGAACAACUCAGGGAAACUUGAGCUAAUACCGGAUGAGCCCUUAGGGGGAAAGAUUUAUCGCCGAAAGAGCGGCCCGCGUUAGAUUAGCUAGUUGGUGAGGUAAAGGCUCACCAAGGCUACGAUCUAUAGCUGGUCUGAGAGGAUGAUCAGCCACACUGGGACUGAGACACGGCCCAGACUCCUACGGGAGGCAGCAGUGGGGAAUCUUGCGCAAUGGGCGAAAGCCUGACGCAGCCAUGCCGCGUGAAUGAUGAGGGUCUUAGGGUUGUAAAAUUCUUUUACCAGGGACGAUAAUGACGGUACCUGGAGAAAAAGCCCCGGCUAACUUCGUGCCAGCCGCCGCAGUAACAC
rnacentral:rRNA from 1 species